rnacentral:lncRNA from 1 species
GCAAAAGAUUUAUUACCCCAAAAAAAUUCAGACAGCAUCACGAAAAUCUUGUUCAUUCUGGAACAGUUUCAUUGUCAAAAUUGUAGUUUUCCCGGUUCCUCCUGAGCGCCCAAUUAUGAAGGAACUUUUGCAAAAUAGAACUAUAUCCAUUUGUUCAUCAGUGACUUGCAUUGGUAGGUCAAAUACUUUACCAGAAAGCAAAUGACUCACCACCCAACGUGACAACGAGUAGAACUUCAUGAGUAAUAAGCUUUCACUCACUUUUGAGUUUUCAACAUAAUUUCUACCAUCGCCAGGAUUCACAAUCGCCUCACUGUCAUCUUCACAGUUUCUUAAAUAACUAAAUCUGGUAAUUUCCUUCGAUGCUGGCCAACUCCUAGGAACUUCAAGGUUCCUGAACAGUUGAAAAGAAAAUGAAAAUAAGCAUGUAGAUUCAGUAGACAGAGUAAGAACAUACCCUUCCAAACAUUUUGAUGAGCAAAGACUAAUAUAAUCAUCUGUGUAGGCAAAAUUGAAGUUGAGAAGAUUUUGUAAACUUGUAUAUAUCUGACUUCCUUAAUGAUGUCAACUGAGCAAAUAAUAUACACAUCUUCAGCUUUAAAUUUGCUAAGUUGAGAAGAUUUUUUUGCAAUUGCAACACUAAAGAAAGAUUCACAACAGAAGCCUUAAAUCAUAGCACAAAUUUCAUUGUGGAAUACCAAAAUUGAACAAGGAUAACAAGUGUUUAUUUACCCCAAAAAAAUUAAGACUCCCCUCUCAACCGUCGAGCCUCCACUGAUUGAUUUUGUCAACACCCCCACCAUCGAUGCACCCACUGCUGUUGACCUGUUGUCGACACCCUCUCAAAAACAGUUCGGACCUCACAAACACCGGCGACAUCCAGUUCAGAUCGGCUUAAGUUUGUUCAGAUCUAGGGUUCAAGACCGAUGCCGGCAACACAGAUUUUUGGUGACGGUGGCAGCCGGAAUUCGUGGUGGUAACCGGCUUUAAGAGAGAGAGAUGGAGAAGAGAAAGGCAGACAUAGAUGGAGAAGAGAGAGAGAGAGAGAGAGAGAGAGCUGAGAGAGAGAGACUGUAGUUUAUUUAUUAGGGAAGAUAAUGUUUAUUUAUUAAUGAAUAUUUUAAAUAAAAAAGAUGA